rnacentral:lncRNA from 1 species
UUAAAGCUUUAGACCUAAUCAUGGUGAGAGGAAACCAGAGUACCCAAAAGAAUACAGGGCUGAAGUGAACCCACAAGCAUGUGCUGUUAUUCACUUCAUCACUGCCAGCACCCACUUACACACUGCAUCAGGGGACCUGUGAGGUUUCAGUAAGUGAUUCCACCAACAUGAAAACCAAUAUUCAUUUACCUGCCAGGUUUUUAGAGGUACAAAUGUUAAAC